AGCUUUGCACAGUGACAGUAUCGUAGCCAAUGAGGUCUAUCCGAGACGGGAUUAUUGCUAAUUGAAAAGGAUACUGUCUCUUUUCUCUUUCCUGGUCAAAGAAAAAGGGUAAUACUCUUUUACUUUGAUUUCAG